rnacentral:rRNA from 1 species
AUUGAACGCUGGCGGCAGGCCUAACACAUGCAAGUCGAGCGGAGCGGCGGACGGGUGAGUAAUGCCUAGGAAUCUGCCUGGUAGUGGGGGAUAACGUCCGGAAACGGGCGCUAAUCCCGCAUACUAUCAGAUGAGCCUAGGUCGGAUUAGCUAGUUGGUGGGGUAAAGGCCUACCACGGCGACGAUCCGUAACUGGUCUGCGAGGAUGAUCAGUCACACUGGAACUGAGACACGGGCCAGACUCCUGAGGGAGGCAGCAGUGGGGAAUAUUGCGCAAUGGGGGCAACCCUGACGCAGCCAUGCCGCGUGAAGGAAGAAGGCCUUCGGGUUGUAAAGUUCUUUCGGUGACGAAGCGUUAAUCACAGAAGAAGCACCGGCUAACUCCGUGCCAGCCGCCGCGGUAAUUC